ensembl:lncRNA
AUGAGACUGAUGGUAAAUAUAAGUGAAUUUCAUGGACAUAACAGAAAAAAGAUGAGGGACAGUAGAAGAGAAGAACAGAAGCAGUCCUGUGGCAUUUUUAACCCCAAGGGCCUAGCUAAUGAAAAUACUCUUGUGAACAUCUUAAAGCACAAAGAACAAACAUGUACUGCACAGGAAAAGGAAUGCAGGAUGUAGAAGAAAAUGGAUGGUUUCCUGUAUAUUUACUGUCAUUUCAAUGUCAAAUAUCAAUUCAACCAAUAUAUUUAUGUGAACAGGAUUUGUCUGUCAUACCUAUGACCUUUUUCUUGUUUUUGCACAUAGAUGAUCAUAUUAGAUGAUAUUCGAAUAUAUGAAGGUGAGCGUGCACACACACACACACACACACAUAUAGAGAGAGAGAGAGAGUAGUGUGACAGCAGUGAUAAUGAACUGAGCCAUUCAGUCUCUCACACACAGUAAAACUGAGCACAGGGUCUUUCUCUCCCUUUCCGAUGACAGCUAUUAAUUCUUGUCUGCACUGACUUGAUGGAAGGCUAACAACAAUUUAUAUUGUUGAUACACUCUAGGCUGUGGCUACAUGUUCUCAAUUACUGAUGAAAGAUAGAUGGUAACCUGGUUACAAAUGGGCAGCGCUGCUUAGAUGAUGUCAAGCACCUUUAUCACACGUUGAUAUGUGUUCACUGCUCCGACUCCUUGUGCUUUCUCUCUGUACAAUUAUUACUCACAGUAAUGGCUCCUGCUGGAGUACUGCACACAUGCUUUUGAAAUCAAGUGUAUGAAAGCUUUAGAUGUGACAGUGUUGUUGAGUGGAUGACAUCUUGACUACUUUGACAUGUUUUAGCAGAGCGGCCUCUGUGCGAGAAUAAAAACGGCACUGAGAGAACUGUUGAAGCA